AUCCGGCUGACGAGUCCUAAAUAAGACGAAACUCAUAUCCUGGAU
rfam:Schistosoma curassoni strain Dakar, Senegal genome assembly, scaffold: SCTD_scaffold0006319